GCAAAGGACAGUGAUGACGAUGAUGAAGUCACUGUCAGUGUGGACCGGGACCGCUUCAUGGAUGAGUUCUUUGAACAGGUGGAAGAAAUACGAGGGUUCAUCGAUAAAAUCUCAGAGAACGUGGAAGAAGUGAAGAGGAAGCACAGUGCCAUUCUUGCUUCACCAAACCCUGAUGAGAAAACAAAGGAAGAGCUGGAAGAGCUCAUGUCCGACAUCAAAAAGACAGCGAACAAAGUGCGCUCCAAGCUAAAGAGUAUUGAGCAGAGUAUCGAACAAGAGGAAGGACUGAACAGGUCAUCCGCUGACCUGAGGAUAAGGAAAACUCAGCACUCGACACUGUCACGCAAGUUUGUGGAGGUGAUGUCCGAAUACAAUGCCACGCAGACCGACUACCGGGAGCGCUGCAAGGGCAGGAUCCAACGGCAGCUGGAGAUCACUGGCAGGACCACCACCAGCGAGGAGCUGGAGGACAUGCUGGAGAGCGGCAACCCGGCCAUCUUCUCCUCCGGGAUCAUUAUGGAUUCCAACAUCACCAAGCAGGCUCUGAAUGAGAUCGAGACGCGACACAGUGAGAUCAUCAAACUGGAGAACAGCAUCCGAGAGCUGCAUGACAUGUUCAUGGACAUGGCCAUGCUGGUGGAGAGCCAGGGCCGGGGAUGGGCAGGGCGACGUCUGCACGGUGCUGGGGAGCAGAGGGGAAGGACGGAACUCACGUCUGCGCGCACGGGCGGGUGGGCUCUGUCCCUGCUGUGCAGGGUGAGAUGAUCGACCGCAUUGAGUACAACGUGGAACACUCGGUGGACUACGUGGAACGAGCUGUGUCCGACACCAAAAAAGCAGUGAAGUACCAGAGCAAAGCCAGAAGGAAGAAGAUCAUGAUCAUUAUCUGCUGCGUGAUCCUGGGUAUUGUCAUCGCCUCCACCUUCGGUGGCAUUUUCGGCUAGACUCCCCAACAGGACUGCUUGUGUGUGAUGGACGGAGCCGCGCGUGUUGUGGGGCCGGAGCUAACCACGCAGCCCUGGAGUCCCCCAGCAGCAUUUCAGUUUUUAAUGCAUGGUUGUUUGUGA